rnacentral:rRNA from 1 species
AGUGAACGCUGGCGGUAGGCCUAACACAUGCAAGUCGAACGGCAGCACAGUAAGAGCUUGCUCUUACGGGUGGCGAGUGGCGGACGGGUGAGGAAUACACCGGAAUCUACUUUUUCGUGGGGGAUAACGUAGGGAAACUUAUGCUAAUACCGCAUACGACCUACGGGUGAAAGCAGGGGAUCUUCUGACCUUGCGCGAUUGAAUGAGCCGAUGUCGGAUUAGCUAGUUGGCGGGGUAAAGGCCCACCAAGGCGACGAUGCGUAGCUGGUCUGAAAGGGAGAACACCCACCUGGGAUCUGAGACACGGUCGAGACUCUUGCGGUGGGACGCGGUGGAGAAUCUUAGGGGAGGGGCGCGAGCCUGAUACAGCCCUACCGCGUAGGUGAAGAAGGCCUUCGGCUUGGAAAGCCAUUUUGUUGGGAAAGAAGAGCAGCAGGUUAAUACCCCGCUGUUCUGACGGUACCCAAAGAAUAAGCACCGGCUAACUUCGUG